rnacentral:rRNA from 1 species
UGGCGGCGUGCCCAAUACAUGCAAGUCGAGCGAGCUUGCCUAGAUGAUUUUAGUGCUUGCACUAAAUGAAACUAGAUACAAGCGAGCGGCGGGCGGGUGAGUAACACGUGGGUAACCUGCCCAAGAGACUGGGAUAACACCUGGAAACAGAUGCUAAUACCGGAUAACAACACUAGACGCAUGUCUAGAGUUUGAAAGAUGGUUCUGCUAUCACUCUUGGAUGGACCUGCGGUGCAUUAGCUAGUUGGUAGGUAAUGGCUUACCAAGGCGAUGAUGCAUAGCCGAGUUGAGAGACUGAUCGGCCACAUUGGGACUGAGACACGGCCCAAACUCCUACGGGAGGCAGCAGUAGGGAAUCUUCCACAAUGGACGAAAGUCUGAUGGAGCAACGCCGCGUGAGUGAAGAAGGGUUUCGGCUCGUAAAGCUCUGUUGGUAGUGAAGAAAGAUAGAGGUAGUAACUGGCCUUUAUUUGACGGUAAUUACUUAGAAAGUCACGGCUAACUACGUGCCAGCAGCCGCGGUAAUACGUAGGUGGCAAGCGUUGUCCGGAUUUAUUGGGCGUAAAGCGAGUGCAGGCGGUUCAAUAAGUCUGAUGUGAAAGCCUUCGGCUCAACCGGAGAAUUGCAUCAGAAACUGUUGAACUUGAGUGCAGAAGAGGAGAGUGGAACUCCAUGUGUAGCGGUGGAAUG